rnacentral:rRNA from 1 species
AUGGGAACAUCGCACAGGACUCCCUUCCCUGUUUUUGUUCUCCUUUUAUUGAUUUGCUUCUGCAAAUCUGAUGACCACCUAACACCUUCAAAGCUACUCUCCACCGGCGACAAGCUCAUCUCUAACGGUGGUAUCUUUGCUCUUGGCUUCUUCUCCCCAACAAACUCAACCACAAACUCCUAUGUCGGCAUAUGGUACAACAACGUCCCCGAGCGUACAUAUGUGUGGGUUGCUAACCGCGACAACCCGAUCACCAGCGGUUCUCCUGGUAAGUUGGUUCUGACCACCAGCUCUGACCUUGUCUUGUUGGACUCCAAAGGCCGCACUCUUUGGACAACCAUGAACAACAUUACUGCUGGAGGCGUUGAAACUGCUGCUAUACAACUUGGUCAUCCAGUUGCCCAACGGCACAGAUAUAUGGCAGAGCUUCCAUCACCCAACUGA